AGAGUUUGAUCCUGGCUCAGGAUGAACGCUGGCGGCGUGCCUAACACAUGCAAGUCGAACGAAGCUUGACGGAUGAUUUCUUCGGAAUGAAACCAGAUAUGACUUAGUGGCGGACGGGUGAGUAACACGUGAGCAACCUGCCUUUCAGAGGGGGAUAACGGCUGGAAACGGUCGCUAAUACCGCAUGAUGUGUUCGGAUGGCAUCAUCUGAACAUCAAAGAUUUAUCGCUGAAAGAUGGGCUCGCGUCUGAUUAGAUAGUUGGUGGGGUAACGGCCUACCAAGUCUGCGAUCAGUAGCCGGACUGAGAGGUUGAACGGCCACAUUGGGACUGAGAUACGGCCCAGACUCCUACGGGAGGCAGCAGUGGGGAAUAUUGCACAAUGGGGGAAACCCUGAUGCAGCAACGCCGCGUGAAGGAUGACGGUUUUCGGAUUGUAAACUUCUUUUCUUAGUGACGAAGACAGUGACGGUAGCUAAGGAAUAAGCAUCGGCUAACUACGUGCCAGCAGCCGCGGUAAUACGUAGGAUGCAAGCGUUAUCCGGAUUUACUGGGUGUAAAGGGAGCGCAGGCGGGACUGCAAGUUGGAUGUGAAAUACCGUGGCUUAACCACGGAACUGCAUCCAAAACUGUAGUUCUUGAGUGAAGUAGAGGCAAGCGGAAUUCCGAGUGUAGCGGUGAAAUGCGUAGAUAUUCGGAGGAACACCAGUGGCGAAGGCGGCUUGCUGGGCUUUAACUGACGCUGAGGCUCGAAAGUGUGGGGAGCAAACAGGAUUAGAUACCCUGGUAGUCCACACUGUAAACGAUGAUAGCUAGGUGUGGGGGGUCUGACCCCUUCCGUGCCGGAGUUAACGCAAUAAGCUAUCCACCUGGGGAGUACGACCGCAAGGUUGAAACUCAAAGGAAUUGACGGGGGCCC
rnacentral:rRNA from 1 species